rnacentral:rRNA from 1 species
UACGGAGGGUGCAAGCGUUGCUCGGAAUUAUUGGGCGUAAAGGGUAGGUAGGUGGUCUCAUUUGUCUGAGGUGAAAGCCCAGGGCUUAACCCUGGAAUUGCCUUCGAUACUGAGAGUCUUGAGUUCGGAAGAGGUUGGUGGAACUGCGAGUGUAGAGGUGAAAUUCGUAGAUAUUCGCAAGAACACCAGUGGCGAAGGCGGCCAACUGGUCCGAUACUGACGCUGAGGCGCGAAAGCGUGGGGAGCAAACAGG